UUGGUAUCUUAGUGGCGGACGGGUGAGUAACGCGUGGGUAACCUGCCUUACACUGGGGGAUAACACUUAGAAAUAGGUGCUAAUACCGCAUAACAGGAGAAGAUGCAUGUCUUUUCCUUAAAAACUCCGGUGGUGUAAGAUGGACCCGCGUCUGAUUAGCUUGUUGGCGGGGUAACGGCCCACCAAGGCAACGAUCAGUAGCCGGCCUGAGAGGGUGAACGGCCACAUUGGGACUGAGACACGGCCCAAACUCCUACGGGAGGCAGCAG
rnacentral:rRNA from 1 species